rnacentral:rRNA from 1 species
UACGAAGGGGGCUAGCGUUGCUCGGAAUUACUGGGCGUAAAGGGCGCGUAGGCGGAUACUUAAGUCGGGGGUGAAAGCCCAGGGCUCAACCCUGGAACAGCCUUCGAUACUGGGUAUCUUGAGUACGGGAGAGGUGUGUGGAACUCCGAGUGUAGAGGUGAAAUUCGUAGAUAUUCGGAAGAACACCAGUGGCGAAGGGCGGACUCACUGGACCGGCAGUUGACGCUGAGGUGCGAAAGCGUGGGGAGCAAACAGGG